rnacentral:rRNA from 1 species
AAUGAACGUUGGCGGCAUGGAUUAGGCAUGCAAGUCGAGCGAGAAGUGUAGCAAUACACGGAAAGCGGCGGAAGGGAGAGUAAUACGUGGGAAUCUGCCCUUAGACCUGGGAUAGCAGCGGGAAACUGCUGGUAAUACCAGAUAAUGUCUAUGGACCAAGGUGUAAUUCCGUCUAGGGAUGAGCCCACGUCCUAUUAGCUAGUUGGUAGGGUAAUGGCCUACCCAGGCGAUGAUGGGUAGCGGGUGGGUGAGCAUGACCCGCCUCACUGGGACUGAGACACAGACCAGACACCUACGGGUGGCUGCAGUCGAGAAUCUUCGGCAAUGGGCGCAGGCCUGACCGAGCGAUGCCGCGUGCGGGAUGAAGGCCUUCGGGUUGUAAACCGCUGUCGAGGAGGAGCAACUUCCAUAGAGUUAUCUUUAUGGAUUGAGUGAUCCCUGGAGGAAGGACGGGCUAAGUUCGUGCCAGCCGCCGCGGUAACAC